rnacentral:tRNA from 1 species
GGCCCCAUCGUCUAUCGGUAGGACACGAGACUUUCAUUCUCGGAGGCAGGGUCCGACUCCCUGUGGGGUCA